rnacentral:rRNA from 1 species
UACGAAGGGGGCUAGCGUUGCUCGGAAUGACUGGGCGUAAAGGGCGCGUAGGCGGAUGGUACAGUCAGAUGUGAAAUUCCUGGGCUUAACCUGGGGGCUGCAUUUGAUACGUGUUGUCUAGAGUGAGGAAGAGGGUCGUGGAAUUCCCAGUGUAGAGGUGAAAUUCGUAGAUAUUGGGAAGAACACCGGUGGCGAAGGCGGCGACCUGGUCCUUUACUGACGCUGAGGCGCGACAGCGUGGGGAGCAAACAGG